rnacentral:tRNA from 1 species
GUAAAUAUAGUUUAAUAAAAAACAUUAGAUUGUGGCUCUAAAGACAGGGGUUGAAAUCCCCUUAUUUACU